rnacentral:lncRNA from 1 species
CUCAGAGCCUACGUGUGUGGUGGCGAGGCUGGUAGCAGCAAGGAGACUCCGCAGUGUCUUUGGGCUGUCACAGGCUUUACUAAGCCUCCAGGCCUGAUCUGGGUUCUGACUCCUUCAUGAGCCUGACCCUCACCAGGCUGUAGAGCAGGCGAGGCCCUCAUUUGAUGGGACACAGCCGGUCCCUGGUAGCAGUGGUGGGGGACCCUUCUGUAGGGCUCUGACCACCUGGUACUGAAGUACCAAUUAUGCUCUCUGAGUGCUGGUUUCUUGUCACUCAGGUCUUAGCACAGAUGCCACCACCUGGGGGAGCCUGCUCAUCUGUAAGGACUUAUGUGCCCCUCACACCGCAGGGUCCAGCCCCAAGUGCUGGGCCUGCCGGGGUCCCUCGCAGGCAUGCCUGGACACUGUUUCCCUCCUUUGCUGUGUUUCGAAGUCUGCCUGAACUUCCAGGCCUGGCAGAGACGCUGCCCACCAUUCUUCAA